UUUCCGUAGGUGAACCUGCGGAAGGAUCAUUGUCGAAGCCUGCCCAGCAGAACGACCCGCGAACUUGUAUAAACAACCGGGGGCAGGGGCGAUCUCGCCCCGUGCCCUCGAACGGCAGGGAGACACUCGUGCCUUCUUGUCGAACAACGUACCCCGGCGCGGUCUGCGCCAAGGAACUUCAAUUAAAGAGUGCCUCCGGUCGCCUCGGAAACGAUGCGCGUGUCGGAGGCGAAUCUUGUACAAAACCAUAACGACUCUCGGCAACGGAUAUCUCGGCUCUC
rnacentral:misc_RNA from 1 species